CUCAGAGCCCGAAAACUGAUCCUCUGUGUUUGGAGUUGAACUGCCUCGGAGUCGACUCGCACUUUGUUGGAGUCGACUCGGCUCUCAGAAUCCGAAAACUGAUCCUCUAUGUUUUGGCUUGAACUGCCUUCUAGUCUUGCUUUCUUCUGAGAGUCGACUCGUACUUAACUAGGAGUCGACUCGCCAAACUUCGGAGUCGACUCGUAACCUUCUGGAGUCGACUCGGCUGCAGGGUCUGAAAUACAUUGUUCUGUCUUUCUUCUGUUACCCUUUGGAGUCGACUCGGAAACGUCGGGAGUCGACUCGGCAACCAUCGGAGUCGACUCGAACCCUUCUGGAGUCG
rnacentral:lncRNA from 1 species